CGAGGGGAAACGGCAUUGAGUGCUUGCACUCUUUGGACGUCGACCGGCGCACGGGUGAGUAACGCGUAUCCAACCUUCCCAUUACUGUGGGAUAACCUGCCGAAAGGAGACUAAUACCGCAUGGUCUUCGAUGACGGCAUCAGAUUUGAAGUAAAGAUUUAUCGGUAAUGGAUGGGGGUGCGUCUGAUUAGCUUGUUGGCGGGGGAACGGCCCACCAAGGCGACGAUCAGUAGGGGGUCUGAGAGGAAGGUCCCCCACAUUGGAACUGAGACACGGUCCAAACUCCUACGGGAGGCAGCAGUGAGGAAUAUUGGUCAAUGGGCGAGAGCCUGAACCAGCCAAGUAGCGUGCAGGAUGACGGCCCUAUGGGUUGUAAACUGCUUUUAUGUGGGGAUAAAGUGAGCUACGUGUAGUUUAUUGCAGGUACCACAUGAAUAAGGACCGGCUAAUUCCGUGCCAGCAGCCGCGGUAAUACGGAAGGUCCAGGCGUUAUCCGGAUUUAUUGGGUUUAAAGGGAGCGUAGGCCGUGGAUUAAGCGUGUUGUGAAAUGUAGACGCUCAACGUCUGAAUUGCAGCGCGAACUGGUUCACUUGAGUAUGCACAACGUAGGCGGAAUUCGUCGUGUAGCGGUGAAAUGCUUAGAUAUGACGAAGAACUCCGAUUGCGAAGGCAGCUUACGGGAGCACAACUGACGCUGAAGCUCGAAGGUGCGGGUAUCAAACAGGAUUAGAUACCCUGGUAGUCCGCACAGUAAACGAUGGAUGCCCGUUGUUAGUUCACCUAAGAAUUAGCGACCAAGCGA
rnacentral:rRNA from 1 species